rnacentral:rRNA from 1 species
AGCGAACGCUGGCGGCAGGCUUAACACAUGCAAGUCGAGCGGGCAUAGCAAUAUGUCAGCGGCAGACGGGUGAGUAACGCGUGGGAACGUACCUUUUGGUUCGGAACAACACAGGGAAACUUGUGCUAAUACCGGAUAAGCCCUUACGGGGAAAGAUUUAUCGCCGAAAGAUCGGCCCGCGUCUGAUUAGCUAGUUGGUGAGGUAAUGGCUCACCAAGGCGACGAUCAGUAGCUGGUCUGAGAGGAUGAUCAGCCACAUUGGGACUGAGACACGGCCCAAACUCCUACGGGAGGCAGCAGUGGGGAAUAUUGGACAAUGGGCGCAAGCCUGAUCCAGCCAUGGCGCGUGAGUGAUGAAGGCCCUAGGGUUGUAGAGCUCUUUUGUGCGGGAAGAUAAUGACGGUACCGCAAGAAUAAGCCCCGGCUAACUUCGUGCCAGCCGCCGCCGUAAUAC